rnacentral:sRNA from 1 species
GGAUGUAAGGAGGACCUGGUUGUGACAUCUGUUUCUACAUUGAUGCCUGCGUUGAUUCAACUGAUCUGGCUGGCUAGGCAGGUCAGGUGUCCCUUUUUAUCCCUCUCUACUCUGUGUGCAUCCCUCCCAAGGCUGCAUGCUUGGUCAAAGAGGACGAUCUUCCCUGCCAGAGGAGGACCAUUCUUUGGUCAAGGAUAUGUGAGUAGCUGUGCUCACUUGCUAGAACCUCCAAACAAACUCUCAGUAUCCUCCACUUUACCAUUUUUUUUUUUCCCUAUAUCUUGUGAAGAUCACUCUUGCUUUAUCUUUCAAG